rnacentral:rRNA from 1 species
GCAGAUACAAAGAGAAGCGACCUCGCGAGAGCAAGCGGAACUCAUAAUGUCUGUCGUAGUCCGGAUAGGAGUCUGCAACUCGACUCCAUGAAGUCGGAAUCGCUAGUAAUCGUAGAUCAGAAUGCUACGGUGAAUACGUUCACGGGCCUUGUACACACCGCCCGUCACACCAUGGGAGUGGGUUGCAAAAGAAGUAGGUAGCUUAACCUUCGGUAGGGCGCUUACCACUUUGUGAUUCAUGACU